GUCAGCAAAUCCAUUUCAGGCACAUGGCAAGAAUAUCUGUGUAUCUACCACAUCUAACCUAGAACCAACGCUUUUGACCAUCUAAACAAACUGUACGUGCACCAAAGAAAGAAUGCUGCGUAGUGCAAUUAGAACAACCAACAGAGCAAUGGUUGCUAAAAGUGCCAUCACAAUGCACCAAAUAAAGAUCAGGGCAGGUAAGUCACUAUACGCAUAAUUAUAUACCUAUGUUACAAGGAAGGUAUUCGAUAUAAUGGUUCAUGAGCUAUAUCUGUUUUAAUGAAAACACCUCGGGUGCUGAUGCCUCGGUGGAUGUGUCAAAGUUACAUAACACAAGUGCUGCAAGCUGUGCUGUGCUAAUGCCUCUCGCCAUGUUUUGCUUUCGCUCAAAAUUAUUGUUAUAGAAGAGAUCAUGUGAACAGCCGAGGGUUAGCACGAUGCCGUGCUACAAGUACGGUGACACCGGUACCAACAUGCACAGGGACUACUGCAGUGGUACCACUCUAUCCAAGAAAUAUAGCUGGGCCUAUUAUUACAGAGGCUCCAAAAAUAUACCUCGUAGUGGCAGCUGUCAUAGCUGUUGGUGUUGCGGUUGCCGCAGGGGUAUUCCUCUACAAGUCAUCUGGAGGCAGAGACAGGAUCUAGGGAGAACUUAAACUAAUUUCCUAGUCCGACAAAGAAAACUAUGCACUAGCCAAAUUCUAUUGUGCACUUGAGUACUAUAGCCAUUUGUUCACACAGGUUCAGAACAGUUAAUUACCAUUCAUCAAGACAAUUAAGAGUUCAUAAUA